rfam:Colletotrichum orbiculare MAFF 240422 contig00968, whole genome shotgun sequence.
ACAUACGACCAUACCUUCCAGAAAACACGGGAUCCCGUCCGCUCUCCCAUAGUCAAGCUGGAAAGGGCCGGAUUAGUACUCAGGUCGGUGACGACUGGGGAAUACCCGGUGUUGUAUGUU